CGGCCGCCAUCAUCCCCUGGGGGGCCGGCCGCCAUCAUCCCCUCGGGGACCGGGCACCAUCUUCCCUGAGGGGGUGUCGAGGAGAACUCGACAGCCCGAGCUGUGUGGUACAUCUUCCUGCACCUUCCUUCUAAAAUGUGCUCACGGGCAAGGCAGGGCAGCCUGCAAACUGCAUCCCAGAUUCAGUAUUAUUUAGCGACAACACAAAACCGAGAGGUUUUUUCCGUACAGAACCACAAAACUGCAGGGGUCUCCUGGUGUCUGUGAUCGUUCAUUCACCUGCCCAAGACUCUGGAUGAAGGCAUUGCCUUGGCCCCAGUUCAGGUGGCUGCACACAAAAACUUAAUGAUGAAAAAGCAAAUACAGGAGGAAGUUCUUCAAAUCUGAAAGUCCCCAUCCCUUCCUCUGCACUGUGGAGGCUGUAGCAGAAGUGUUUCACUGGAGAGUUGUUAAAGGAGCUGGGCACUGACGGCCUGCACACUGUUCUCCCACUUCAGAGGGGCCUGCCUUGGAAAGUAUUUUAUGGUCAGUGGAAAAAAAUGAGGAAGAGGAGGGUGUGGCUGCUGCUGGGAGGCUCUGGCUCUGCAGAGGGUCACUGCCUUGUGGAGAUGGGACGUUCAUCAGGACGAAAUGGAGCCGCCUUUCAGGAAAUGUGUGUUGAUCCUCUGAAGCCGAAUCCUCAGGCAUUUGUGGCCCAUCCUUGCAGCCCGGUCCAGCUGGAGCCCUUGGAAGCGUCACUCCCUGCGGAGCUGCUGCGGCGUUCCCGAGGCCUGUGCCUGCGGAUCCAGCGUGGAGAGCCCCAUCUCCAGCGGCCAGGUGGAGCAGACACCCCGGGAAAAGGGACUUCGGUGUGGGACAGAGCUCAAAUGUCAGUGCCCCUUCCGCCAUGGCCUAGCAGCCUGGAUGUAGUCGCCCUGUCAGAAGUAUGAAAUUUACAGCAGAAGAAUUAAUUUAACACCAAAAAAGCUCUCCCUCAUCUGAACUGUCAUUCAAAAUGCACAGUGAAAAUCACCAAGGAGGAGUUUUCUACCCCACUGUCAGCAGGACUCCUGGAAGAAUCUUCUGAAACUUGCGCACAUCUGUCUCAGACUGCCCUUAAAAAGACAAAGCAGUGGUCUGGCAAAAUGAACUCAAAACACACAAGGAGGAGCCAUUGGAGACUAACCUGCAAGGUGUUCAGAUUCACUGAUAACAUGGAAACCAGAGUCUGUUAACCACUGGCUGUUCCAGAUAUGAUGUCAAAGCCAACAAGGAGAGUUGAAGUAGUGUGACUCAAAAAAAGUAUUUUGGAUCAGCAAGAAACAGUGAUGUUUUCAGUCAUGAACGUGGCGGGACCACUGCAUUGGACCGAACUGCCCAGCAUCCUCUCAUAAAGAAUGACUUACUGGGGAGCCAAGUUAGAAAAUGAAAGAAGUGAAGAUUGGUCAUCUCUGCAGAGGAAAUGACAAGGUAUGCAUAGCAAUCACACUGGAGAUUCAUUUUUUGCUGGUGCUUAGGUCUUCAUGGUAGAUUACUUCUGGCAAUAAAGUUUAAAAAUAGUCCUCAGAAACCUUGGAAAAGAUGUUUUGAAGAGAACUUUUUCUUCUGUGCAAUUGCCAGAGUAAGCAAAGUAAGUAUUUAUAUCUUUAUAAAUAUCUUUGAGAUACACCUUUAAACUCAUUACUAUGCUGAAUUGUAGCUGUUUUUCUACAGGUAAAUGGGAAUCACAUUCAUGAGUUGUUUUUUUGGCAGAGAUCAGUAAAAACAACUGUUCUCCCAACUCUAAACUGAAACCCAUCCAGAUACUAUCAAUGGUCAUUCUUGAGACUUUAAAAUACUUGUUUCAUGGGCUCAUUUAAAUCACUGUAUGCUCAGUGCAGCAGUUGUACCAUUUUCUCUUCAUGUUUUUCACCAUUACAGGAUGUGCUUAGUACCUAUUUUGCACUGCAUUUAAAGAAUGUGUCCUUUUACGUUUGUCAUCCUGUAGAUUUGUAACUUGAGGAUGCAAAAUCAGCACUACCAACAACUCCUGCCUCUCAAAUAUUUUCAGUAAAGUGAAUGUAUAAUAUUUAGCCAUGACUGCUAAGAGACCAGACAAGGCUAUAUGCCACUUAAGUUCUGAGGUUAAAUGUUACUUCAGUGAUGCAUAAAACUUGCAUUGACCAUCUCCCCAGCCUCGAAUUGAACCCAUUAAUGAAUGAGCCUCACAACAUCACCGUGAGCUAGGGAACUGUGACCUGGGUUUAACAAGGGGUGAAAUGGAGCCCCGAGGGCUUGUGUAACCCCUGCCAGUGCUGCAGGAAGUGCAGGAUGAGCCAGCAGUGCAGCCCAGCUCCCCUGGCCUGCCAUCCUGCCUGCACAGCCACCCCUGCACUUGGUGUUCUUGUCCACGUGCUCUGUUAUCAACAGCCACACGUUCUCUGGGCACAGUCUGAACCAUCCAGUUCUCCUGCAGAGGAGCUUCAAACACUGCUCUUGUGACCUGUGGCUCCUUCUCGUCCAUAAAGAACUGGAGACACAACACAAACAGGCCAGCACAGACAGCACCAGAUGGCCCUCGGAACUGGAGCAGGUUUCAUCUCCCCUGGACUGUGGCCUCACCCUGAUUUCUGGGCAUUAGGAUCUGGUGGUCCUCACCUCUGCCUUGGAGACCUCAGGGAUGCAGUGAGUAAUAAACUUUUGAAGUUUGUUUUUUAACCAUGUAUCUCCUGAAAUGUUGGUUUGCUUAGGAACACAAGUGUGACCUACAGAGCAGCCCUGGUGUAAUUUCUGUGUUAGUGGAAGUUUUGAGGUAUUGAGUGUUUCAUCAUCCUCUGGAAUACCAGCUUUCAUGGCUUUUUUAGCAUUCAGAGUAGUACAUAAGCAAAAAUAGCAGAAAUGAGUGCAAUAGAAAAAUAACAGUUUUGUCCAUGUAGAUACUGCAGUUUGCAUAAGCAGAAGACAUGAUCCCACAUCCAAGAAAUAUUAGGUGUGUUUUUGAUGGCAAACUGUCUUUUCCCUAAUGCAUUCUGUUUUGAAGCAUCUGUUUGACUUGCAAGGCAAUUCAGAGCAGUAGGGCCAUAGAAUGCCCAGCACACACAUAUAGAAGGUGCCUGUGAUGGUGCAGAACACCGUCGAUGUACACCCAGCCCCGAGCCAGCCUGGAGGAAAUCCUGGGCACCUCCUCAGAAUGGAGGAGGAGGCUGUGCAGGCUCAGUCCUGUGAGUUUUUCCCAUUGUGCCUGCCUGAAGUUCUGACAGAAUCUGUCCUGUAUCAUUAAAUUACAGAAAGUUUCACAACUGGGCAAAGAGCUGUUGUUUGCCAUUUUAGGAGCAGCCAUAUUUAAGUGAUGGUAAGACACGAUACAUGUUGUACUUCACAGGCAUCGCAGCAUCUGUCUUUGUAGAAUAUUUUUUACCUCUUGAAGAUGCAAGGCAGUGUGUCAUUUUUGUUAUAUUCAGCUAAAAAUAUAUUUUAAAACACUGUGUGUGGAGUUUGUCAUACACAGAUCUAAGGAAACCGAAUCCUUCCCUCCACCAAGAAAUUUCUAUGUAAAAUCUCCAGGGAAGUUCCUUGCCAUGAUACUGCUCUGGCACAGUCCUGCCCAGAAAGAAAGCUGUGGCCAUUCAGUUUGCUGCCUGAUCCAGGCCCUGUUGAAUUUGUCAAAGCUCCCCUUGGCUGCAGCACCCACCACAGCAGAUCCUCAGCCAUUGGCCCCACAGUGCUCUUCCAGCAAACGUUGGUGACAUUUUCAGUCUGUGGGAGCAGAGUGGUGACUGCACCACUUGGGAAGCCAAGGUAGUUGUUACAUGGAGAGGGACUGGAUAGCUCUGACCUGUCCUGCAUCCAGCCUCACCCCUUGCUGGGGAAUGUCCCCACCUUGCAGGGGCUCCAGGCCCUCUUCUCCCCUGCUGUGGGAUCACAGUGCCCUUGAGAGCACACGGCAUUCCCUUCCUCCUGGGAGCCCAGGGACACUCAGCCUUUGGAAAUCCUCCGGAGGCUUUGGGUGGAAGGUGCUCAGAGAUCGCAAAAUGGUUGUUCUGUGCUGUCCAAGAGCCUGUUCAUUAGUAAGGCUUUUAAUUAUAUAACAACCCUGCUUUAAAACUGUCUGCUUCCCUGUAACACCACAGAAAUAGCAGACUUGGUUGGCCCUGUGCCUUUUUAAAAGUGACUGUCGAGGUACUUAUUAACAUCAGUUCCAAGACAUUUUUCAGUGAGCAGUGAGAGUUGGAAUAUGGAAAUGUCAUAUUUUUCCUAGUAUUAAACAGUUGUUAAACUAGAAGCAUAACUCUUGCCAGAUAGUUAUUUCUUGUGCCUGUCGUCUUCAUAGAAGGAAAAUGAACAUGCAUUUUUCUUUCAUUAAGUAUUUUAAAGUUCAUCCUUGUUUGGUGAUCUAAGUCAAUUAAAAUAAGUUUAUGAGCAGCAUGUGAGAGCAGAAGACUAAUUAAUUUUAGGUAUUGGAUAAAACACAUUCUUUUCUGGUUUUGUCUGCUAAUGAGUAUUACUAAUACCCAUAAUAACAGACCUUAAGAAAAUAGUAUUACACAGAGUUUAUGGUACUUUACAAAUAAUUAUCUCAAUAUCUUUAUGAAUUAGCAAACUACUAUUUUUGUGGGAAAAUAUAUAUUAAGGCAACAUUACAUCAGCUGCACCUAGAGAAAAGAGUCUUUAAGAUCGUUAUCACAGCAAAUAAGAGCAUCCUUUAGAAAUGGUUAAUAAAAGUUCACCUUUUUUUCAACAGGGUGAAUAUUUUUAGCUCUCUCACCUAGCACUGCACCUGAAACUGAAAGUGAAGUCCAGAUAUAUUAAAGACAGGCAGUGAAAUCCCCGGAACAUACUCAGGGUUUCCAGAAGCUUGCCACUAUUUGGAUCUAUCUUUCUUCUUAGAGUCUCUGGAAUCAGCUGUAAGUGUAGGUUCUUCAUCCAGAAUUCCCUGUUGUUGGAGUUGGUUGGGUCUGGGGGGUAGUUUGGGCUUUUCACUACUGUGAAUCAUCCUUUUAGUGCCAGACUGGUCCUUUGAACUGGUUUCGCUGUGCCAUCCAGCAUAAAGAGUUGCUACUCUGAGAAGUUUUGUUGUUUUAAUCCUUCCACUUCAAAGUAAAUGCUUACAAAAGUGUCACUGUGAAGUCAAUCACACAAUGCACAGCUUUCCUCCAAUUAUGUUAUGUAAUAUGGUUCUGUUGAUAUAAGCAUAGGGUUUAUUUUACACAGAAAGCACUUCCUGAGAGGUGACUGCACAACUCACAGGUUGCUGCAAUGGCACAGAAUUUUAGCCAAAGCUCCAAUGCAAGUUCUUGGCUCUUAGGAAGAAUACUGAGGUCUCUGACUGCAUGCACAAAGAUGAUGUUUAUUUUUAAAUAUUUUAUCUAAGAACCAGAGGCACGGGGUAGGGUGUUUUUCAGAGGAUUAUUCUGAGAGCAAUUGACUUUAAAACAUACAUAGAGAAGACUGUCAGGCUUUCUGCUGGAGAGCUUUCCCAAAGGAUUUCUUUGACAGUGGUCAGGGAGUGGCUUCUGCUACCAGUCAUGCACAGUUGACAUGGGUGAGAUAUUGAAAUCUCUGAAGCUGUUCCUUCAGUGUGGCCUACAAAGAAUAUUACAGUGUGUAUCCUGUUUGGCCUACAAGGGCAUUGAGGUUCCAAGGUGUGAAAUACGGGGUUGGACAGUGUUUCCUCCACCACAGUGACCUCAGCGUGGUCAGAGUCACACCAGUCCUGCAGCUCCCAGCAACCAGUGACCUCUUUCUGCACAUGGUCUCAGGCCCCUGCAGUGAAAUGAUCUUUGACAUUGAUGGUACAGGCUUUUAUAGUUAGCACAUUGAUAUCUAAUUUGGUCAGACAUCUGCAUUCUCCUUCCUUCUCUGCUUCAUUUAAAAGUGUUUGUUCCUUGAAGGAGCUAAUGCCUCUCUCUGCCUGUCUCUCCAAUGCUUUUAACACUCAAGUCAAUCCAAAAAAAUCUGUUCUUUUCACUCUACUUUCCUCUUGCCUGUCUCUUUUGAGUCAGGGUCCUGCCCCGGGCCAUAGUGGAACUGUGGUAGUAAAAGUGAAUGGGAAAGCUGGUGCUGUGCAUGGUUCUCCUCGAGCAGGAAGCUGCUCUCGGCUUUUCCCUGUGCUCUCUCCCACCUUAUAAUUGUUUCAGUGUGCAGCAAAAUGCCAUUGAGAUGGGUGUGUUUUGUCUUGCUCCUCUCUUUUCAGGUCCCCACAUCAGUGAUGCUGAAAGCCAGGGCAGAUGGCUUCAGUCCCCUGCAGUGUGACCUUCGGGGUAAGAUCUGCUUUCCUUUCUCUGUACGGGGCUGAUGGGUGCAUCAGUUAUUGUGUUCCUUGGUUGACUUAGCAAAAGGGAAGUUAGCUGAUUGAAUUAUGUGGUACCUUUUACUUUAAAGGUUUACUUAUUUAUUUAAGCAGUAUUUAUACUACAAUACUGACUGAUUCCUCAGAUUUCCACUUCUUUAGAUCUGCCCUGAAUGUGUUGUCCGUCAAACCAUGUGGUGGGGAAUAACAACCCCCUCAAACUGCAGCACAGGUUUGAGGUGACAGUAGUUGGUGCUGUAGUGGCAGCUCUGCUAACCCCCCUGAGCAAGGUGUAUGUGGUCCAGCAGGGUCUGUUGGUCUGGUGCUCAAUUCAGAGCUGGGUUAUGCUCAGUCAGGACUAGGGAGGUGUUUGAGUAGGCCACAACAGUUCCUCACAGUCUUGAGAAAUCCUUUGUUCAGUCUUAGGGAUUUACUCAUGUGGGAUUUGGGAAAUUCAGUUAGAGAGCCUCAGCUCUUCCCCAUUAGGAUAAUAGAGGAAUAUCUAGGAGCAUGCUGUACAAUCCCUCUAAGUCAGUAUCCUCUCUCUGAGUCACAGCAGUGCCUGUUCCCAGAGUGACAGACUGGUUUGAUAGGAUACAGUUGUGUCAGAGUUGGAAGUACACAAGUGCAGUUAUUAAAAAUGAAUGCUGUAUCCUCUUUCCCUCGUGUAUCUUGUCACUGACAUGACUUCACAAGUUGCAAAUCUAUUAAACAUUUCAAACAUGAAACUAGAGCUCAUUAAGCAGAAUGUUGUCUGGUAUAUAGCAAACUGUUUCAAAUUCAAGACUGCUAAUAUUUGUCUCCAGAGCUUUUUGUCUUCUAGGUUGUCACCAAGCAAUCCAGCUGUCUGGGAAUACAGCUUGUGCUUCAUCUGAUCAGAGUCUGACUGUCCUUUGGGGUGAGGUAGUAGGUUGUAUAGUUUUAGGGCUAUGCCCUGCCUGUCACAUAACUAUACAAUCUACUGUCUUUCCUGAAGUGGCUGUGAUACCAGCGCUGGAUGUGCCUUUGAAAGACAACACAGAGAUUUUGCAACUGUAACAUUCCCUGGCUCUGUCUGUACAUUGCGUUUGGCUCUUGUGCACAAAUGUCCUUACAGUGUUUAGAUUCCUCUAUUUCCCAUUCAGGCCCAAAAGCCAUUUCCUUUCUGUGGUUUUCUCAGAGAAGGUGGGCUGUGAGUGAGCCCUUUUCCCAGUCUGCAGGGGACUUGCUCAUGGCCAGCGUUCCUGCGCUGCCGUGAGAGUGGCCCUCUGGAAACAGCUGACCCACUUCUCCUUUGCCUUCUGGCAUUUGUGUCCAUGGCCAACAGAAAAUGCCACUUUGGAGUCAGCAGCUACUUAAAUCCACUUUGUGUCGGCUGUUUGAGAAACUGCAGAGGGGCGAGGUGGACAAAACCCAAAGAGGAUAUCUUCCAGUCCUCGUGUUCUGCCCCGGAACUGGUAAAUGCUUGAGCCCUAAGUGAGAGAUCUCUUUAAUCAGUUUUGGGUCCUGAUUUCACUUGCUUUUUGUUACAUAUUGCUAAUUUGGGAGGGACAGUGUUUGCACUGCAGUUGUGAUGUCUCUGGAGUCACCUCACCCAUGCUGACUGACUUGCAGUAGAACUGUGAGGAAGGGUCAGCAGGCCACAGUUACACAAGUGGGUGGGAUAGGACGUGUGUGCAAAUGGUGAAAUGGUGGUUUCCUUCAGAAGAUGUGCAUGAUGCUCUAACAGGAUGAGGUAGUAGGUUGUGUGGUUUCAGGGUAGUGAUUUUGCCCCAAUCAGGAGAUAACUAUACAACCUACUGCCUUCCCUGAUAAGCAGCAUAACAACACCAGUGUCUUAAUUCACAGAGAAAUGAGAGCUAAAAUGUACUGAGACGUAUUCUGAGACAGCAAAGUAAGUCUAGAUACAGUUGUUGUUAUCCUGUCGCUAAUUGCUCUACAUUUAGAUUUUAAAUGUAGAUUUUUAGUAACUGCCUGCAAAAUAAUUAUCCUUUUAAAAGUCUUUAUCAUGAAAAAUUGAAUUAAAGAAUUUUUAAUUAUUUCAAAGUUUGUCUGCUCUCAAUCUGUUUUGUUUCUGAUUCAUUUGAAUGGAAUGAAGGUAUUUUGGGAAGUGAUUCCAAAAAUGCUGCAAAGUUGCAUUCAGGAUGUUUGUAUUUCCUUGACAUCUGAGUGCAGCAGAUUUUACUAGCAAUGCAUUGGUUUUGUUCAACUUCCCCCUCCCUCAGGAAUCUUACAGUGUUUUACAAAUAGUACCAGAUGAGUCACGUGGCUUCUUCAGCAGGUAGGCUUGAUGUUGCAAGUAAAAAGCUGUAACAGUGAAAAUCAAGAAUGAGAACUAAAAACCCAAAACCAGACUGGUCCCUUAGUUUCUCAUAAGCAGGCUCAUUUCAUGACUUUUAAUGACCCCCAAAGCGAAUUCUCUGCUAUCUAAGAGGCACAAACUGCACCUGGAAAUCCAUGGACAGAAAAUGUUGGGUCCAUUAAAGAUAUUUUGAGAACAUGAACUUACACCAUAAAUCUGUGGAAGAAGGGGAACAUAACAGCAAGGUGAUGGGUUUGGUUGCACACAUAGAACUUGUUCUCCCACAUGCAAAAUAUACCCAAAAAUAGGAGAAAAGGCAGUUUAAUCCUUCCUUUACACAGCAAGACAGGUCCUUUUAACAUCUCGCUUUCGAUGACAAAAACAUCUCACUUGUGGAACUGUUAAAACACAGUUUGCAGCACUGGGGGAUCUGGGAGGUUUCAGUGGGAUGCUGGACUUUACAGACCUUCCUGGGCAGAUUAUUCCCUUGUGAAGCAUACAUGCUCUUCUCUCUGGCUUCAGCCUGGGUUUGGUACUGUCUCUCUCACAUCUGGUAAUAAACUACCCUGCGAGCUUGACAAAUGGUGUUGCAGCAGUGACUGUGUGAAAAUCAGAUGGGCAAUCCCAUAGGCCCUAUUUUUAUUUAGGUUUGGCUCGCUGGCUUGUUCUGGUGACCUCUGCUGAGGUUCGGUGUAGGAUACCCAUGGUUACCACAUGGUAACUUAUUUCCCCUGAAGUUUCAACAUGUUCACAACUUUGGUUGUAUUUUCUUUUUCUCUCCCUUCUUCUCCUGUUUACCAUGGGUAAAAUGAAAUGAUUGAUGGCCCAGGAUUCAAUGAUUCACCUUUUAUUUCCCCGUCGUACCAAAUCUGAGUUUGGAAGUUCAAAUGGACAAAUAAGUUUCCAUUUCAUUCCCCUUUGCAAUUCAGCUUUUCCAAAGCUUAAUAGGUUUUAACUGUAGCACAAAGAAACCUUAUAAAUACAUUACAUUUCAGACAUUCAUCACGUUCUACUGUCUGGCAGAAAAAAGAAAAAGUGAUCAUUCACAUUUUUUAUCAAAACUUGAGUAAAACGAGUAUUAGAAAAGUCUACCUCAGAAAGCCUCCACUUCAGGGUUAGGCUUUUUCACACUAGAGCAAGGAAAAAGAUUUUCUUGUUUUGAAUGUGACAGUAUAUCCCCAGCUCAAGCUCUUCCCAGGUUUCCAGUGGCGGAGCUGCGUCCGCGUGAGCUGGGUGAGUAGGUGAGCUCACAGGCAGCUCAGAUGGCUCUGGGAGGGCUGGUCCUGCCCCAGCUCCUUGGCAGGACUGGGAGACAGCUCUGGGGCAGCUGGGAGACAGGCUGUGGUUUGGCCCCGUGUGGGCCAAGCAGGUGUGACUUGGUUUUUACAGAUGAUGGCGGGGAGGCAAACACCUCGACGUGAGCGACGCCUGGGCUGUGCUCCAAGCCGUGGUACACGAACCGUGUGGCUCAUCCCACAGGUUAUUCCCCCAAAGGUGCCAGCUCCUGAAAGCCUGGGCUUUGCCCAAGGAGGUCACCACUGUGGGGCUUCUCCUGAGAUAUCUGGUCUCCUUCAAAGUGGCGUCCACAGGAGGGUUCACUAUCAAAUGAUUUCCAUGAGGCCUUGAGGUUUCCAGCAGUGACCGGAGCAUCUCAACCUUGGUUUCACUGAGGAGAGAUGGGCCUAGGUGCACAAGGAUCUGUCAUGUGCAAUUGUGUUUACUUGUGCCUGUUUGCUAACCUCCAGCUUCGUGGAACAGGUCCCCUGAUCUGGUUCACAGCAUGGCCCUGCCAGGAGCUGGAAUUGGGAAGAUUGAGGAGUGAUGCCAUGUGGCAUGAGGACAAAAAAGGUGGAACUGGGUGUUGGGAUGUUUCUGAGGCCACAGGAGCAGAAAACUGUGGCCUUUCUGCUGCCAGCCUGAGGCGAGCCUCAAUUUCUAGCCAGUAAUGAUCUUGUUAAUCUGUUUUAUAGCACAGUCAAUCUGCAUAUGUUUUCAAGUCUCAUCUGACCUCCCCCUUCUGUGUUAUUGAACAUCUUGUUUAGAAAUUCUUUUAUCAAACACUUAAAACAAUUUUAGAAAUACUUGUUUAAAAAAAAUCUAGGACUUAAUUAUGGGCAGCUCCUAUUCCCACAGCAAAGCUGGUAAGUGUAAAGAACAGUGAGAAAUACUUGAAUCAGAACAUGGACAGUCGAAGUUUAAAGGAAAAACUGAGACCUACAAAGCAUUUCUACGUGUGUUGCUUUUGUUUUAAAAUUUGACUUGUAGAUGUGCAAUGAUUAAGCAGAGAGCUCAGAAAUGGACUCUGUGGUUGUUCUUCAUCCCAGGCCGUUGUGGCCAACGCUCAGUGUACUGGUUGUGAACGCUGGAAAAGGCUGGGUGUGUAUCACUGCAAGUGUUAGUCAUGGCCUGGAAACAGGGGAGGAAAAUAAUUGAAGCUGAAGUUACUCAGCUAAUUGCUUUGACUAAGUCUCACAUUUACACACCCUAAGCACCUAAACUCAACAUUUUUACUUGACAAUACUUGCCCUUCCUCUGGGGGGAAGUAGUACAAGCGGUAAGUAGUGCAAGUGAGUACAAGGCAAAGAAACUGCUCGUAUGAAGGAUCCUGGAGGACUGCCAAACUGACUGGGGGAGCCCUGGGAAAUGCACUGAGUGGACACACAGCACCAGUGCCACGUGCUACCACUCUGGACACAGCAGCAACCUGUCCUUUCCUUUAACUGCCUCGCUCCAAACCAAAGCACAGCAGCUUAGCUCUGAACUUGCCCUCAGGAGCCACUGGACUUUGCACCAAGACGAGCCUCUCUUUGGGUGCUCUGGCAGCAGCACAGCCUGUAACAUCACUGCAUCUCCCUCCUAAACAGAUGUGCUUGGAGCACGAAGAACUUGGCCCGGGGUGUGCAGAGUACGAAGGCAAACAGAAGUGCCAUCGUCAGUUUUAAUUUCUGCACUGGGACUGAAUUAUUUACAAAGAGAUGAGAUCGCAGCAAGCUGACAUUUUCACAGCAAUUCCUUCUUGAAAUCUGCAUAAACAGAGACUUCUGAAGCUUCCAUUAAGGCUACAACUAAAGCCAGACAAGAGUAGAUAAGCACUGCUGGGAGCAUGCUGGGAGUAUUUCCCAGUGACAGCUCAAGCUGAUCGAGCCAUGUGAGGGAACACACACACUGCAUGGAAAUAGAGGAAGACACUUUUAAGAGAAAACCAAGAAGUUACUAAUAAUUGCAUUAAGAAACACGACCCACCAAACAUUCUACCUUCCCUCUGUGUUCUGCUGGGUCAUGCUCACGUACAAGCUCUGCAGGGGAAGGGCAGGUUUUCUGCAGGAUUCUUAGAGGAGAGAGCACAGAGGUGUUACAGGAAAGAAGGGUUGGGAAUUGGAAACAGACAUCAAAGGGGGGCACAGAGUUGACGUAAACAGUAAAGAGACUUGAGAGGGGUCAGCGAAAGAUGGCUUUGGCUGGAGAGGGGGUAGAAUGAAGGCCAAAAGAGAUGUUGCAAUAGUCAGCUUGUAAGAUACAAAUCAGAGUUAUGGUGGGGACAACAGGGACAGAUUUUAAGGGUGUUGCCCAAGAGAAUCUCAGUGAGACAGAUAAAACACCGAAUGGGAAACUGAGACUGGGGAAAAGGGGCAGUGAAGACUUCACAGAGCCAACAAAACAAAACUAGGAGCCAGUGAGAAGCCUGGAUAAGGAAAGAAACUCUUUCUUUGAAAUAGGAAACAUUCAAACAGUAUUCAGUUCAAAGGACUGGAAAUACAGGGAUCAAUAAAUUAAAAUGCAUUAAGCAAUUAAAUUAAGAGUGCAUCUAUUUCCAAGGAUAAUAGAAAAAACUUGAAAAUAGGAGGAAACUGUUAUCCCUUCAGUCACACUGUGGCAUGUACCAUGUGCAUUGAAGGAAGGAGCAAUCAACCCCAGUAACAGAAUAACAAAACUUCUAUCCAGUUCAAGAUACCAAGCAGUGACUUGUUUUCUAAAAACGUGUAGUUUUAUUAUAUUAAGUCUAGCUGAUUUUUAGCAGUUCUCAGAGAUAAAAACCAAACCCCACAAAUAAAUCUGCUAAAUCCUGCAGAAUAUGGUAAUGUAGUGUCCAGCACAAAAAGAAACAUAUAGAAAAGGAAUCUUACACUGAAGGAAGAAAUAACUCAGAUGAGAAGGUUAGGCAAAUUUGGGGAAGAAAAGCCACAGUUGAGUUAUAAGAGUAAUUGCUUAUGCCCCAUAAACUUUUUUCAAGUCACUCAUUUCCCCUGUGGUUCCUCCAGAAGAGCAAUGAGAGGAAUGCCAAACAUUCUGGCUUAGGAAGCGUUAAUAAGGUCAAAGCACUGUGAUCUUACAUGCAACUGUUCUGAAGGCUUUUGGACACAGGAAGAGGCCUAUGGACACCUGGAACGUUUGAUCUUGACACUCUGACAAAUAAUGAAUUAUUUUAAUAAGGAAGAAGUACUGAACAAAGUAACUUUCGAAUACAGGUAGAAGUUACCUGAGUGACUGGUCUAUACCUUACGUUGAUGGCAUGGUAAACAUCUCUAACGAAAAUUUAUAAGUAACAACUUCAGUUGCUUCUUUUGUUGGGAAAUACAAUCUCAGGUUUAAAAACAAAACAAAACAGAAAGAAUGUCUAAAUAGUUUUGCAGAACAGUAGACUUGUGUAAACCUGUAACUCGAAUCCUGGUUCCAUCCAAAACCUGUCAUAUUCAAAUGAGGCAGAUGAGCCUCCUAUGAUUUAUCUAAAUGUUUUCAUUUAUCACCUUUAGUCUUAGAGCUUUGUUCUAAUCCAGGAGAGAGACGUGCAUCUGAAAAAAAGCCAACCUGCAAAUCCAGCCUGCCCUAAAACCAACAGCCAAGCAAAGCAGCACAGACAUUUCUGUAUCCAAACUGCUCUACUGGGGCAGAGCUUCCUAAGGAAAGCUCAGGGUGGAUACAUCUCACAGAUCUCCUCUGCUCCAACAGUUUUCUUGGCUGUUGGUUUUUUUUAACGGGGUUGGUCUGGUUAGAGAGAAUUGCUCUUUAAACAAUAAUUUGCAUACUGUGUAUAUUAAAUGAAUCAGAAGUAACCAUCUCCUGUUCAUUAUCACAUGGGACUUCUGGCUUUGACAUAUUUUGACGAGGCACAAAUGGGCAGGAUUCAGUGUGCACAAAAUUAUACAUAAAAGGCAUAAAUUAUGCUUGGAUAGUUUUCUAGACUUCUGCUAGUGACCUCUGUUCAUAAAACUUCUUGCCUCGUGAUGGUCCAGCCUCUUCUACUCAUUUAAGAAGAGUAAUUCAGUGGUGUUAAAUUAAUUUUCACUUAGCACACGUUAGCUCUGUAAAACUUCAAUAAUCACUCAAGGACAAACAGAACUGUAUAUCUGCUGUUUCAGCUGAUAAAGGGCUGGCUACGACACUGGGUGCCUGCAGUGCCUGUUCAAACAAAUACCCGAGUGGGGAGGCUCUGUGGCUGUAGCCACCUUCUUGGGAAAAUCUUUCGUCACGACCCAGCAUAAGCAAGGCCCCAUUGUCUGCUAAACCCUUUGUCAUCAAAGCAGCAAGAGAAACCACAGCAACCAUCUGAGUGCAGGGUCAGCCCACUUCCCCUGUGUUACCUGUAGCUGGAGGAGGUGAUGAAGGUGCUGGCAGUUUUUCCUGGUGUACUCUCUCUCCCAGGCUUCUGAAUGAGUCUGUGCUGACUGGAUCUGCUCAUCUGCUCCCACAGAAUUGUUUUGAGAGGCUCCAUGUCUGGCCUUUAAAUAAAGGAAAAGGAAUUUUUGUUCUGCAAAGGAAAACAUUUUGUGACAGAAAUGCUGCAUGUGGCUGUGCAGACCUCUGGCAAAGCUGGCUGGCUACUGGAAAGAUGGAAAAUCAACUACUGCACAAAUCUGGCUGCUUGUUUCACAACUGGCAAGUUGUUAGGCAAUAGCAAUAAGGUUAUUGCAUAUUAAUAGAAUAUAACACUAAUUAAAUCUUAUUCCAGCUAAAAGCCUAGUAAGUAAUCUAAUUUGUGAUUUCUAAAAGCUUGCACAUUUAAAUAGCUAAUGGAUGUUUAUGAUAUUUACUAUGUUAUUAAGAUUUGAAAUGUGAUACAAAUUUACACAAUCCAGUCAGUAAUCUACACUUUAAAAGCUCUUUCAGUAAAAAAGGAAUCAGUACAGUCUCCUGUACAAAUAUUUUAAGUGCAGAAUAGAUUCUACUCCUUCACUACAGAUGCUUUCUGCAACAUCAGCAGUUUUUAUGGACAAAAAGUAUCCAAAUUCUUCAGAAGAAACACUUCCAAUACAGGGAUUAAGAGAGCUCUCUUCCAUGUCUGGGGUAACACAGCCCUCCCUGCUGACCGUGCUGAAGACGGAGGUUGCUACACAUUUGGUGUGGGACGAGAAGCCCACAGCUCAUAAACAGGAAACAGCCCACAACUCAUUUUAAAUUCCAAUAAAUAUUUUGUGUUUUUACUGCCUUGGAUGUGCUUGUGCGUGAGUCAGGACGAGAUGAGCUCAGCAGCUAGCAUAAAGCUCAGCCAGCCUGGCAGGCCUCUCACUGGCAACAGUGGUGAAUCCAUAAAAUGUGUAUAUUCCUGAGGCAAAAGCCUGCAUCCAUGCCAAGAUAUUACUUUGGGGAAUUGUGCUGCAGUGCUUGUGCCAUGUCACCUCAGGGACCAGCAAUACGAGCACACUUGCAAAUAGACCUCCUAAACCCAAUCGGAAAGUUCAGUAUGGAAACUCAUACAAAUGUCCUCAGUUUCCACAGCUUCCUUGCCCACGCGUGAGGGGAAACAGGUUGGAAGGAAGGAAGGAACCAAACUGAAUGAAAAACUUGUCUUCUCAGAUAAUAUCUUUAAUGGAAAUAGUCCCUGAUGCUUGUUAUCAGCUGAUCUCUGCUACACACAGACUGGGAGGAAAUACAUAGAUGUUAAAACUGGGAAUUUACCAACUAAAUCAAAUUAUUCUUGUGGCAUUGGGUGUUGUCCCGGCUUGGAGCAGACCUUGGAGGAGCACUAGUGAUUGAGAAGUUGGGCUGUGACCAGAACCAGCUUGAAAUAGUCUUAAAAAGGUUAAAAUAAAUGUGAGGGCUUUCAUUAGCUUUGUUUUCUGGGGUGUUUCUGUUGCCUUUUGCUGGUUGGUAUGAGCCAUGCUUUUGGGGGUUUUGAGCCUCUGCUGUUACUGUUGUUCCUCCACCAAGUGCUCUGGUGUCCAGGGCCGUGUGCUUAAAUUUAUGAGACAUUUGUGGAAUUCAGUGUGGUGCUCACUGCAGUAGGGGCGCUGAGCCCUCAGGACAGUGCUCUCCUUUCCCUUCUGGGCCUCAAUCAACUUCCCAUUGGAAACAUCUGAAGCGACUCAUGUUUCACCUUCCCGGCACUGUGCCAUUGACUACUCAGGUCAGUGAUAAAGUGGGUUUUCUUGUAA